CUACGGGUGGCUCCAGUGGGGAAUCUUAGACAAUGGGCGCAAGCCUGAUCUAGCCAUGCCGCGUGAGUGAUGAAGGCCUUAGGGUCGUAAAGCUCUUUCGCUGGGGAAGAUAAUGACGGUACCCAGUAAAGAAACCCCGGCUAACUCCGUGCCAGCAGCCGCGGUAAUACGGAGGGGGUUAGCGUUGUUCGGAAUUACUGGGCGUAAAGCGCGCGUAGGCGGACUGUUAAGUCGGGGGUGAAAUCCCGGGGCUCAACCCCGGAACGGCCUUCGAUACUGGCAGUCUGGAGUUCGAGAGAGGUGAGUGGAAUUCCGAGUGUAGAGGUGAAAUUCGUAGAUAUUCGGAGGAACACCAGUGGCGAAGGCGGCUCACUGGCUCGAUACUGACGCUGAGGUGCGAAAGUGUGGGGAGCAAACAGGAUUAGAUACCCUCGUAGUC
rnacentral:rRNA from 1 species